rnacentral:rRNA from 1 species
CUACGCCACUCCUACGGGAGGCAGCAGUGGGGAAUAUUGCACAAUGGGCGCAAGCCUGAUGCAGCCAUGCCGCGUGUAUGAAGAAGGCCUUCGGGUUGUAAGUACUUUCAGCAGUGAGGAAGGUGGGUAUGUUAAUAGCAUACUCAUUUGACGUUAGCUGCAGAAGAAGCACCGGCUAACUCCGUGCCAGCAGCCGCGGUAAUACGGAGGGUGCGAGCGUUAAUCGGAAUUACUGGGCGUAAAGCGCAUGCAGGUGGUUUGUUAAGUCAGAUGUGAAAGCCCGGGGCUCAACCUCGGAAUUGCAUUUGAAACUGGCAAACUAGAGUACUGUAGAGGGGGUAGAAUUUCAGGUGUAGCGGUGAAAUGCGUAGAGAUCUGAAGGAAUACCGGUGGCGAAGGCGGCCCCCCUGGACAGAUACUGACACUCAGAUGCGAAAGCGUGGGGAGCAAACAGGAUUAGAUACCCUGGUAG